rnacentral:rRNA from 1 species
AGCGAACGCUGGCGGCAGGCCUAACACAUGCAAGUCGAACGAACCUUUCGGGGUUAGUGGCGGACGGGUGAGUAACACGUGGGAACGUGCCUUUAGGUUCGGAACAACUCAGGGAAACUUGUGCUAAUACCGAAUGUGCCCUUCGGGGGAAAGAUUAAUCGCCUUUAGAGCGGCCCGCGUCUGAUUAGCUAGUUGGUUGAGGUAAUGGCUCACCAAGGCGACGAUCAGUAGCUGGUCUGAGAGGAUGAUCAGCCACAUUGGGACUGAGACACGGCCCAAACUCCUACGGGAAGCAGCAGUGGGGAAUCUUGCGCAAUGGGCGAAAGCCUGACGCAGCCAUGCCGCGUGAAUGAUGAAGGUCUUAGGAUUGUAAAAUUCUUUCACCGGGGACGAUAAUGACGGUACCCGGAGAAGAAGCCCCGGCUAACUUCGUG